GGAUCACAUACCGAAAGGUAUGCUAAUACGGGAUAAUAUAUUUGAGAGGCAUCUCUUAAAUAUCAAAGGUGAGCCAGUACAGGAUGGACCCGCGUCUGAUUAGCUAGUUGGUAAGGUAACGGCUUACCAAGGCGACGAUCAGUAGCCGACCUGAGAGGGUGAUCGGCCACAUUGGAACUGAGACACGGUCCAAACUCCUACGGGAGGCAGCAGUGGGGAAUAUUGCACAAUGGGCGAAAGCCUGAUGCAGCAACGCCGCGUGAGUGAUGAAGGCCUUCGGGUCGUAAAACUCUGUCCUCAAGGAAGAUAAUGACGGUACUUGAGGAGGAAGCCCCGGCUAACUACGUGCCAGCAGCCGCGGUAAUACGUAGGGGGCUAGCGUUAUCUGGAUUUACUGGGCGUAAAGGGUGCGUAGGCGGUCUUUCAAGUCAGGAGUGAAAGGCUACGGCUCAACCGUAGUAAGCUCUUGAAACUGGGAGACUUGAGUGCAGGAGAGGAGAGUGGAAUUCCUAGUGUAGCGGUGAAAUGCGUAGAUAUUAGGAGGAACACCAGUUGCGAAGGCGGCUCUCUGGACUGUAACUGACGCUGAGGCACGAAAGCGUGGGGAGCAAACAGGAUUAGAUACCCUGGUAGUCCACGCUGUAAACGAUGAGUACUAGGUGUCGGGGGUUACCCCCUUCGGUGCCGCAG
rnacentral:rRNA from 1 species